AAAAAUGAAAAAAAAAAAGAAAAGAACAAGCAAUACAAAUUCGUCGAGUAAUAGAACGAAGGGGUUCUAUUGAUAUCGAAUACGUCAUUGGCUAGAAUACAAUGGCGCCGCCAAGCGGCGAAUCAGGAAACUCAUCUAGUCAACAUGGCCACGGCGCGAGAAACUCUCGUGUCUCUCGUCGGUCUCGUCAGUGUCUCCUCGGGAGUCCGUACGUCUGUUCGUUCGUUCGUCGUGUUCUAUAAAAUUUUUACGCGUAACUUAAUUCGUAUCCUCAAUUCAUUUCGUUUUCGAACAUCGACAUAAUAAUACAUAUCCGGAUUAAAAGAGUUUUGUGUGAUACGUUGAGAAAAUAAAGGGAGGGAUUGAAAUAACGCGAUAAAGGAGAUAGAAAUAAACUUCGCCGUAAGAAUUACUAUCAAGAGUAACAUCACAACCACUUACAAAAUCAGUAAACCACCACCAGUACUAGCACCAGCACCAGCACCAGCACCAGCACCACCACCAGCACCAGCACCAGCACCACCGUCGUCUACGUCGUCGGUGUCGUCUACGUCGUCGUUGUCGUCGUCGUCGUCGUCAUCUUCGUCAUCGUCAUCGUCAUUAUUAUCACCAUCAUAUACGAAGGCGAGCGUCGAGGACGAAGAUGGCCGAGAGUAAAGGAGCGCUGAUUGCGAAGACAGUGCAAAAGCACGCGGGUAGAGCGAAAGAGAAGUUCCUUCAGAAUCUCGGGAAGGUCGACAGAACAGCGGACGACAUACUUGACGAGCACCUACAGAACUUCACGAGACAGCAAUAUUCCGCCAACAGGCUGCAAAAGGAGUUCAACAAUUACAUCAGGUGUGUUCGAGCCGUACAAGUGGCUUCGAAAACAUUGAUGGACUCGCUCAAUGAAAUCUACGAGAGUCAAUGGACUGGUCAUGAUCUUCUUUAUGUGCAAGCACAAAACUUGGAUAUGCUGUGGCAGGAUUUUACUCACAAACUUGCGGACCAAGUGCUCGUACCUCUCAAUACAUAUCAAAGCCAAUUUCCUGAGAUGAGAAAGAAAAUUGACAAACGUGGAAGAAAAUUGGUGGACUAUGAUAGUCAAAGACACAAUUUCCAAUCGCUCCAAUGUAAUCUAAAGAAGAGAGAUGAAAUUAAAGUAUCACGAGGCAAGGAACUUUUGGAAGAAGCUAAACGUACAUACGAACAAUUAAACUCCGAACUUCACGACGAAUUGCCAGCUUUGUACGAUUCUCGUGUUUUAUUCCUUGUGACCAAUUUACAAACUUUAUUCGCUGCCGAACAAGUUUUUCAUGCCGAGAGUGCCAAGGUCUAUUCCGAAUUAGAGGCAAUUGUUGAUAAACUUGCCAAUGAAAGUCAGAGAGGAUCUUAUACGUUGAAAAAGAACACCGAACCCCAAUCUCCAAAAUCACCAAAUGCCAACUCAACUUUAAUAAUAAAUACACAACCAUCGCAAAACAACAUCUCAACAGCUGUGGAGGACUCGGUACCACCAGCUAGAGAUACGUCGCCAACAACCCAAUUAAAUGGCAAUGCUAACAGCAAUGCUAAUAGCAAUGAUAAUUCUCUCAAUAAUCAGGAUGCUUCUCCGCAAAGUACAGUCGUACCUACCAAAUGUGUUGAAGAAUUAUAUGAUAUUCCAGUCGACGUGGAAUAUGAAAAUGGUACCAAUUUCUCUGCAGGGGCGACAACGGACAAUUUGCCACCUGGUGUUUUGUAUAGGGUCAAGACUACAUAUAAAUACAGUCAGGAAGACGUGGAUGAAUUGUCCUUUGACGUUGGUGAAAUAAUACGCGUUGUAAAAUAUGAUGACCCAGAAGAACAGGAAGAGGGCUGGUUAAUGGGUAUCAAAGAGGGUACGAAUGAAAAAGGAAUGUUUCCAGCAAACUUUACAAAGCCACUGUGAAAGCUUUUUCAGGUUUAUCCUUUAUUAUCAGAAUGCUCACAGAAAUGUCAUCUUGAUAAUUUUAUAAGGUUUUCGUUGUCAAAGAUUCGUCGUCUCUAAUCGGUGUAUAUCAUUAUUAUACAUAUAUAUAUAUAUGCAUAUAUAUAUAUAUAUAUAUAUACACAUAAGUUAAGAGUGCAAUAACUUCUUUGCAUAAGCCAAAUUAUUGUAAGCGUAUCGAAUCGUGGACCAAGAGAAAACAAAAACAAAAAAAAAAUUGUGAACUUUGAUUCUUCAAUGCCAAAAGAGCUCUGGUUUAAGACUGUGAAGAAGAACAUGAGAGAAAAAAAAAAUAUUUGAUAAUUAUUUGUUAUAGGUAUAAGUAUUUAUACUCCACUUUUUUUUUUUUUUUUUUUUUUUUUUAAUUAAGUUCCUGACUUAUGUUUUAUUUUUUAAAUUACAUUCCAGAAAAAUUUGUCAUACUCAUAUAUAUAUAUGCACUUACAGUAAAACAUACAUGAAAUAUAUUAUUUCAGAAUUAAAAUGAACUUAAUAAAUUUCAAUUAAUUGGACUUCCAAAUUACACAUAAAAAAACAUCAUUCAGAAUUGUCAUUAGAUUCAAAAGUCUAAAUAUAAUUAAAAGUGGAGUAUAAAGUUGUGCCUUGAUUUUCUAAGUUUAACGAGUACCAUGUACUAUAUUGUCUUUUAUCGAAUGUAUUCAAUGAUAACGAAAUAAUAUAAAUGUAUUUUGUUGAGUUGAAAAAAGGAAAAGAAAAAGAAAAAAAAAGGAAAAAAAACGAUAUUUAUAUAAUGAUAGCGCUGAAAGAGAGAGAGAGAGAGAGAGUGUGUGUGUGUGUAUGUGUAUGUACGUUUAAGUUUGGAAAUCAACAUGUUACUGCCAUGGGGUACAAAAUUAAUCUUUAAAAUCGUAUGAUUAAUUUUAAUUAGAUGUGUGUCAAAACUUUCUGUUAUAAUAUAAUGCCCUUUAUACUGCGUACAAUUUUUAUCUGACCGAACGAUUUGCAUUUAAUAUUUGAAGGGGGAAAAAAAAAAAAGAAAAAAAAGAACAAACAAAAAACGAGAGUGAGAGAGAGAGAGAGAUUGAGAUUGAGAUUGAGAGAGAGAGAGAGAGAGAGAGAGAGAGAGAAGAAAAAAAAAUUAUUAAAAAAACGAGAGAAAAAUAAGAAAAAUGAUUUUUAAGAGGUUUGAAUAUCAUCAUCCCUCUUUCCAAGUAAUAUUUCCAAUAACACUUAAUAAUCAUACACGUUCUUUGGAUACAGUCGGGUUAUAAUUUUAUUAUACAUAAUUAGAGAACGGCAAUAUAUAAUACACGAAGAAAAUAUAUUUAAAAAAUAUAUAUAUACAUAAAAAAAAAAAAAUAAAAAAAAUAAAAAAUAAAAAAAUACAUUUUAAAGAAAAAAAAAAAAAAAGAGAUAACACCAAAGCAUUCUAUACUUGAGCUUAAUAGAAGAAGAAUGUUAUCAAACAGUGUAGUAGUGUAUUAUCAACAUUUUUAGGUUAUAAUAAACAAAAUAUAUAUAUAUACAUAUAUACAUAUAUAUAUAUAUAUAUGCAAUAUAAUAUUGA